rnacentral:pre_miRNA from 1 species
GCGCCAACGCUCAGUCGGGGGCGGGAGGGCCGAGGAGCAGGACGUGUGUUGGCGCGCGCGCGCUCUCUCUUUGCCGACCGCCGUCGCCGCCGCGCGACUUAUUGGACGC